GGAAUGCGGUGAGAGCCCGCAACUGACGCGCAGCGGUAUUAGAGAACGACCCUAACCGGCCUUAGGCCAGACACUGUCGCCAAUACUGAUUGAUGGUAUGCGAUGGGAAGUCGUUAGCAGUAGGCGGCGAAAGCCAUGCUCUUAAGUCCGAAUAC
rnacentral:ncRNA from 1 species